CCUCGGGGGGGCCGGAAGGCCUGAGAUGCUGCUUCAGCGGACCCGUUGAACCUGAACCGGUUAGGACCGGCGGAGGGAAGGUCU
rnacentral:ncRNA from 1 species